UCACUGAUAACUGAUGGUGUUCCUGGAAAAGAUCAUCCUAGCAAAGGACAGCAUCCCACAAGUACUAGUUCUACACUUAACAAACACGAUGGCAGAAGAGCAAAUCCAUCUGGACAGGUCACAACACCAAAAACAGCUUCACAGCCGAGAUCAGCCCAAAUACCAGAAUGGCUGAUCAUAGUGGCUUCUCUUCUGGCGCUGACAUUGAUUCUGGCAGUCUGCAUUGCUGUCAACAGUCGGAGCAGGUAAGGAAGCCCAUUUCUAGCUUUGGAUAGAGGAGGUCAUUGUUGGAGAACGUGCUGCCUUGAUGUCUUUAUUGUUGAGAGAUCUAUGAAGCUUCUGGUAGCUUUGGAAAAGCACAGAGAAGAGUUUCUGCCACAGUGGCAAUCUCUGUGAAC
rnacentral:lncRNA from 1 species